UACGUAGGGUGCGAGCGUUGUCCGGAAUUAUUGGGCGUAAAGAGCUUGUAGGCGGUUUGUCGCGUCUGCCGUGAAAAUCCGGGGCUCAACCCCGGACUUGCGGUGGGUACGGGCAGACUAGAGUGUGGUAGGGGAGACUGGAAUUCCUGGUGUAGCGGUGAAAUGCGCAGAUAUCAGGAGGAACACCGAUGGCGAAGGCAGGUCUCUGGGCAACAACUGACGCUGAGGAGCGAAAGCGUGGGGAGCGAACAGG
rnacentral:rRNA from 1 species